rnacentral:snRNA from 1 species
GUACUCGCUUCGGCGGUACAUAUACUAAAAUUGGAACAUUGGAGAGAAGAUUAGCAUGGCCCCUGCGCAAGGAUGACACUCAAAAUCGUGAAGCGAAGCGUUCCACU